rnacentral:lncRNA from 1 species
AUGCUCUCAGGUUUGGUUACAGAUAAGCCCUCAGAGAAGGCUCUUCCAGCUCCUCUGCGGCCUCCUGUGCUGAAUCCAAGCUGGCCUCCAAGAGGUACUCAGAGAGCACGUUAUACAUCUAGAAGAGGGAAAAAAUCUCAAAAGGCAUCUGAUGUCUUAGACAAAACUGUGAAGAAACUGGUGCAGAUAGACUACGACCCACCUGCAAAAAGUAGUCAGAAGAAAGGAAGCUAUCGCAUGCCUCCAGUUUCUGAUGUAGAAAGAAAGGCAAUGGAUGAAAACGGCAUGCCAGUGGUGGACUCUGGGACAAACACAAAGGCAGGCAGCAACAUACGUGAGCGGUUAUAUAUUACAAUGUCUUCAGUGGUCCCAAUGGUGCUGCUGUCUUUGCGUCUGACGUUUUUACUUGGUAAAUUAAUUAAAGCGAUAGAAAAGCGAAAACAGGGACAAGCUGACACUGCCACUACCUCCACUGGAGAAGAUCAAACUGGAGAUGCAGGGUCAAGGAAAGAACAAAAUGAUACUCUUACCCAAGAAGAUGAGGACAUCAACAACGGCCUCAGCCCAUGACCCUGCACUUUUCCACCAGAGUUCACUCAGCUUUACAGCAACAUGAGUGCAGGUGCCUCGCCUGUAACAGCAUGUACCAGCAGCUCUCCUAUUAGGUGGCUAUUCUCCAGACCUCCACAUCUUGCAAUAAGACUCUAUCUUAUCUAGGAGGCAAGAGGUGGAAGGUGUGUGGUGCGUGUCACUGUACGGCAGUCAGCAUCACUUUGUGGACCAUUUCGCUGGAGCUGUUUGCCUUCGGAAGGGAGUGCUCAGAAUGUUUACUGGUGGAAGAUCUGGCCUGUAACCAAGUAACUCCAGCUUGGUACUGGAGAUUGGUGGAUGAUAACAUUAUAUCCUGAGAAGGCAAGAUACAAGCGGACACCUCCCUGUUAAUUCUUAUCGGAUGACAAGGCCCAGAAGAUGGGAACAAAAGGAGUUCCUGCUGCGAUCCAAAAGCCGGAAGCUGUCCCUCCAAAGAGCUGACUCAGCCACUUUGGACUUAGAAAUAAGUCUGAACUGUCACUGGACAAAGUUGUCAUUGUCUUCAACCAAGCAACAACUCCGAUGACCCACCACAACUGAAAAUCAACAACUGUACUAUGAACGCUAGACGCAAGGUGGUGACUAUCUCUCUUGCUUUCUACAAGGACUCCUUGCUUUUAUUUCCUAUAAUCUUUUCUAUCACUUGUCUUCUCUUCCACAUCUCCUUAGGAUUUGUAAUAAACUUGUUAAACUAACAUUUGACCUGUUGUGU